GUGCUUGCUUGGGCGGCACAUAUAGUAACAUUGGAAAGAUACAGAGAUUAGCAUGGUCUCUCUGCAGAGGAUGACAUGCAAAUUUGUGACAUAAAAUAACCCCAA
ensembl:snRNA U6 U6 spliceosomal RNA